AUGAUAGGUUUUGAAAAAGAUUUUUCAUGUCAUUCCCAUUUAGGUUCGAUUCGGAUCCCUCUGUUGUUUCCCUUUCCUCCCGAACCUUUUCCUCGAAAUGAUAAAGAAUCUGGUACACUCGAAUUGUAUUAUUUAAGUGCUUAUUGCUUGCCAAAAAUCCUACUUCUACAAUUGGUAGGUUACCGGGUUAUUCAAAUAAGUCGUGUUUUCUGUGCUUUUCCCAUGUUACAACUUCCGUACCAAUUUGAUCGAUCCGGAAUGGAUCGGUUAAACAUUCUAUUAGGGAGCCCAGUCUUGACUCUUCUGUGUGGUAUUCAUUCUCGUUCGGCUCUUGGAAUCACAUCCAGCAGUGGUUGGAACAGCUCGCAAAAUCCAACCACUUCACCUACUUUAUUGCCCCCAACCGUUUCCCGUACCUCUAUAGAAACAGAAGGGUUUCAUGUUCUUUCAUCGAUUGGGUAUUCCUCUCCUUUUGUAUCUCUUUAUCCAAUUUCGGUCUCGAUUAGUUCACAAGAUUGA
rnacentral:rRNA from 1 species